rnacentral:lncRNA from 1 species
CGGUUGGUAAUGUAGUUGAAGCCCUUACGUUGUUUCCCACCUUCUUCAAUAGGGACACAUGAAACACAGGACGAAUGGAACUAUUUGGUGGUAGUUGAACCUCGUAAGCCACCAGACCUAUCCUUUGUAUCAUUGGAAAGGGCCCAUAAUGCUUGUAGGAGUACUCUGGAUGGACUGUUUUAUCAAAGGAAAGAGCACUAAUGAGCUCCAAC